CCGACUUUAGCUCAGUUGGAAGUAGCGCAAGACUGUAAUGGAAACCUAUGGAGCUGCCAGCUCGAACGCGUGAUUACAUAAUAUCUUGAGGUCGCCUGUUCGAACCAGGCAAGUCGGA